AAGAUCGAGGACGACGAGUUGAUCUCCUACAUCCUCAUGGGUGUGGGGGAAGAGUAUGAACCAGUUACGACUUCAGUUGCAAAUCGCACUGAUCCGAUCUCUCUUGCAGAACUACAGGCGCAGAUCGUGAGUUUUGAAC
rnacentral:snoRNA from 1 species